rnacentral:rRNA from 1 species
CAGCACCUCAAGUGGUCAGGAUGAUUAUUAGGCCUAAAGCAUCCGUAGCCUGCUUUGUUAGUUUUCGGUUAAAUCCAUACGCUCAACGUAUGGGCUGCCGGGAAUACUGCAAAGCUAGGGAGUGGGAGAGGUAGACGGUACUCGGUAGGAAGGGGUAAAAUCCUUUGAUCUAUUGAUGACCACCUGUGGCGAAGGCGGUCUACCAGAACACGUCCGACGGUGAGGGAUGAAAGCUGGGGGAGCAAACCGGAUUAGAUACCCGAGUAGUCC